AGCCCGGGGAGAGGCCUCUAAGGCCACUGCUGCCGCCGCCGCAGCCGCCACCACCUUCGGGGCGGGUUCUCCUCUCGCGGUUCCGACAGCUGGGGCGCUCCCUCAGCCGCCGCUCCCGGGGGCGCGGGCUCUGGUGGCCCCGGCCGACGAGGACGCCCUGCGUGCUCCCCGCGUGCUGUCGCCGCCCAGGCCGGGGAGCUGCUACCGCCUCCCUCGGCAUCCGGGGCCGGCAUGGAGCUCUUUCAAGCCAAGGACCACUACAUCCUGCAGCAGGGCGAGCGCGCACUGUGGUGCAGCCGCCGCGAUGGCGGCCUCCAGCUCCGACCCGCUACUGAUCUACUUCUUGCCUGGAAUCCCAUUUGUUUGGGUUUGGUAGAAGGAGUUAUUGGGAAAAUUCAGCUUCAUUCAGAUCUUCCAUGGUGGCUUAUUUUAAUUCGGCAGAAAGCGCUGGUGGGAAAACUUCCAGGAGACCAUGAGGUCUGUAAAGUUACCAAAAUUGCUGUGCUAUCACUUUCUGAAAUGGAACCUCAGGAUCUUGACCUAGAGCUUUGUAAGAAGCAUCACUUUGGAAUUAACAAACCAGAGAAGAUUAUACCAUCUCCUGAUGACUCAAAGUUUCUGCUGAAGACCUUUACACAUAUUAAAUCCAAUGUGUCUGCUCCUAAUAAAAAGAAAGUUAAGGAAAGUAAAGAAAAGGAGAAGUUGGAGAGGAGAUUACUUGAGGAGUUGCUGAAGAUGUUUAUGGACGCGGAAUCCUUUUACUAUAGCUUGACCUAUGACCUGACCAAUUCAGUGCAGAGGCAAAGCACUGGGGAGAGCGACCCCCGGCCCCUCUGGCAGAAGGUUGAUGACCGAUUUUUUUGGAAUAAAUAUAUGAUACGCGAUCUUACUGAGAUUGGUACCCCGGAUGUGGAUUUCUGGAUUAUCCCCAUUAUCCAGGGUUUUGUGCAGAUUGAAGAACUUGUGGUGAAUUAUAACGAAUCAUCUGAUGAUGAGAAAAGCAGCCCAGAGACCCCGCCUCAGGAGCCCACCUGCGUGGAUGACAUUCACCCACGAUUUUUAGUGGCUCUCAUUUCACGCCGCAGCAGGCACAGAGCAGGGAUGCGCUAUAAACGAAGAGGAGUGGAUAAAAAUGGAAAUGUUGCAAAUUACGUGGAGACUGAGCAGUUAAUUCAUGUUCAUAAUCAUACCUUGUCGUUUAUUCAAACUCGAGGCUCUGUGCCUGUCUUUUGGAGCCAGGUUGGAUAUCGAUACAAUCCAAGACCUCGGCUGGACAAAAGUGAAAAGGAAACUGUUGCCUAUUUCUGUGCCCAUUUUGAAGAACAACUGAAAAUUUACAAAAAACAGGUUAUUAUUAACUUGGUAGACCAGGCAGGAAGAGAGAAAAUUAUUGGCGACGCUUACCUGAAGCAGGUGUUGCUCUUUAACAACUCACACCUCACUUACGUUUCAUUUGACUUCCAUGAGCAUUGCCGAGGAAUGAAGUUUGAGAAUGUUCAAACACUAACAGAUGCUAUUUAUGACAUUAUUCUUGACAUGAAGUGGUGUUGGGUUGACCAAGCUGGGGUAAUAUGUAAGCAAGAAGGGAUUUUUCGAGUUAAUUGCAUGGACUGCUUGGAUCGCACCAACGUGGUCCAAGCUGCCAUCGCACGAGUGGUCAUGGAACAGCAGUUGAAAAAAUUAGGUGUGAUGCCCCCGGAGCAGCCACUCCCAGUGAAAUGCAAUCGGAUCUAUCAGAUAAUGUGGGCCAACAACGGUGACUCCAUUAGCAGGCAGUACGCUGGGACAGCUGCUCUGAAGGGUGACUUUACAAGGACAGGAGAAAGGAAGUUAGCAGGAGUUAUGAAAGAUGGUGUUAACUCGGCAAAUAGGUAUUACCUGAAUCGAUUUAAGGAUGCUUAUAGGCAAGCUGUUAUAGAUUUGAUGCAAGGCAUUCCAGUGACAGAAGACCUUUAUUCCAUAUUUAACAAGGAGAAAGAGCAUGAAGCUUUGCAUAAGGAAAAUCAGAGGAGCCACCAGGAGCUAAUUAGCCAGCUCUUACAGAGUUACAUGAAGCUACUACUGCCUGAUGAGGAGAAGUUCCACGGCGGCUGGGCCCUCAUUGACUGUGACCCCAGCCUCAUUGAUGCUACUCACAGAGAUGUGGAUGUGCUGUUACUGCUUUCUAAUUCUGCCUACUACGUGGCCUAUUAUGAUGAUGAAGUUGAUAAAGUAAGCCAGUAUCAACGACUAAGUCUAGAAGACCUGGAAAAAAUAGAAAUAGGUCCUGAACCCACUCUUUUUGGUAAGCCAAAGUUCUCCUGCAUGCGAUUGCACUACAGAUAUAAAGAAGCAAGUGGUUAUUUCCACACACUGAGAGCUGUAAUGCGCAAUCCAGAAGAGGAUGGAAAAGAUACCCUGCAGUGCAUUGCAGAGAUGCUGCAAAUCACCAAGCAGGCUAUGGGAUUAGAUGUGCCUAUAAUCGAGAAAAAACUGGAGAGGAAGAGCAGUAAACCUCACGAAGACAUCAUUGGCAUCAGGUCUCAAAACCAAGGCUCUCUGGCCCAGGGGAAAAAUUUUUUAAUGAGCAAAUUUUCAUCUCUAAAUCAAAAAGUGAAACAGACCAAAUCCAAUGUAAAUAUUGGCAACCUACGAAAGCUAGGAAACUUUACAAAACCUGAAAUGAAAGUUAACUUUCUAAAACCAAACUUAAAAGUAAAUCUUUGGAAAUCAGAUAGUAGUCUUGAAACCAUGGAAAACGCAGGUGUGAUGGAUAAUAAAGUCCAGGCAGAGUCUGAUGGGGAAAUGUCUUCAGAUAAUGACUCAUACCACUCAGAUGAAUUCCUUACAAAUUCCAAGUCUGAUGAAGACAGGCAGCUAGCGAAUUCUUUGGAGAAUGUAGGGCCAAUAGACUAUGUUCUUCCUAGCUGUGGUAUUAUUGCUUCAGGCCCCCGACGGGGCAGUCGAUCCCAGUCUAUUAGCAGCACCGACAUUAGCAUUCCUGCUCCUUCAGAGAUCACUGUUGCUCAUGGAAGUGAGUUUGGAAAAGGCUAUCAGUCUCCUUUGAAAAAAAGUCCUUCUGCUGACAACAUACACAGACUGACGGGCGUUGCCAAGCCCGUGGAUAUGUACUGCCACAGAUUUGUACAAGAUGCACAAGGCAAAAUGACCCAGCUAUCAGAAACCAGAUCUGCUUCUCAGCAGGUUAGCGAGGAAGGCAAUCAAGUGACCAACCAAGUUUCUAAUGAAGAAACCCAAUCUGAAUCAAUGGAACAGAUACCUUCUCGACCAUCUCAAUUAGAUGUGUUGUCUUCUACAACAGGCCCACAGUUUUUGUCUGUUGAACCAGUCCUAUCUCAAAAGACCCCCGACUCUGGAUCCAGCCUGCUUGAACUUGAGACAGGGCUUCAUAUAACUCCUUCUCCUUCAGAGAGCAGCAGCAGCAGAGCCGUCUCGCCCUUCGCAAAGAUUCGGAGUUCCAUGGUCCAGGUUGCUACUAUUACCCAAGCUGGGUUAACCCACGGGAUAAACUUUGCAGUGGCAAAGGUUCAAAAGAGCCCUGCAGAACCUGAAAUGGUUAACGAAGUCCAGCAAAAUGAAUUUAAGAAUAUGUUUACACAAUGCCAGACACGAAUAAUUCAGAUUUAGUUUUUAGCUACAAAGGAUCGUUCUGUGGCUUUUAUUUAAUCAAAAAAAAAAUGGUUUCACAUAUUAGGCUAUUUUAACCUGUACUGUCUUUGACUCUAGGGAUCACAAAUUCUGUUUAUUGGAAAAGUUUUAAAAUUUAAAAGGAGUGUAAACCUGAGAUUUUCCAAAUUUGAGAGAACAGAAGUGCAUCAUCUGAGAAUGUGUAGACCUGAGUAGUUUAUGCACUACAGAGCGGUUUGUCUCUGAAAGUAAUUCUGAAAUGAAUUACUUAGAGACAUAACCUGAACCUUUUUUGGAGUGGGUGGUUGGGUGGGUUGAGUAAAGUACACACAUCAAGGAUGGUCAUGGAUACAUUUAGAGGGUUAGUAUUUUUUAUAAUUUUUGUCAUUUCAUUUUUGUGUAUUACCUCUACAAGGUAAAUACAUUUAGUUUUUAGUGACUUUGAAGUAUUGCUAGUAUGGAGAAGCAUUUGAAUAUAAAAAACGAUUGGUUUAGUUUUUAUGGCUCAACCGUUCCCUAUGAAGAAUUGAGGGUUAUUGGCAGUCCAGUCAAGAAAUGUAUCCUCAUUGGAUCCUAGUUUCCACCCUCUUCUACUUAAACAACUGUAACAUUUUCUGCCACCCUGUACACCCUGAAGUCUAGAAGCAUUAAGACUUGUCAGUUAUAAAACCUGAGACAUCAGAUGUGAAUACCAGCAACCAGUGUCUUGCUGUUUUCAGCAAGGGAGCGAAGGUUUUCUGAAGCAGAGUUAUAGCUCUUCCUGCCUGUGUGGAACUUGAGUAUGAGGACACCAUGCCGCACACCUUCCAUACUUAAUUUACUUCUGGUAAUGGUUUUCCAUCAAGAGGACACAGGAUCUCUUCAAAACAAAUCACAUGUGGUGAGUUUUAUUUCUUUGAAAGAGGGUUUUCCUUUCAAGGGAACUUUUCUGCAAGACCAAGCAUGUUCUUCUCUUUGGUAAAUUACAAUUCAAGUUGGCACAAUAAACACACAGUAACUAAUCUACUCUCCUGAAUUUUAUUCUCACAAAUCCAGCUGAGCUUUCAUUUCUAAAAGUUUAAGGAAUGUCUAGUCUACCAGUUAUAAAAAUGAAAACCAGUUAGAAUUUUAAAUAUAAACAUUAUUUACACUCGUUUAUAAAAAUAGCUUUUGAAUUUAUGAAAAGUUAAACAACUAGCAAUUUUCAGACUUCAGUUCACGAGGCAUAAUACCUUGACUUUCAAGGCUGACCCUGUUUCCUUGGUUAGCAAUGUCAGUUUAGGGGUGUGUGGAUCAUUUAACUGAUCUCUGAUAUUUCCAAUUAGGUGAGUUACUGACUAAAAGAAAUUAAUCUUUAUAUACAACCUUAAGUAAUGUAUCUAACCUUUCCAAAGAUUUUUGAUGCCACAAUUACACUAUACUGCAUUGAUUUGCUUUCUAGCUGUGGAUGAUGAUAUGUUUGUUCUUUUAAAAACUUGUAUGUUAAAACUGUGGUCUGGAGGGCCGGUCGAGUGGCUCAGUUGGUUAAGA